rnacentral:rRNA from 1 species
GAGGAAAGAGGGAGGAGGGAAGAAUACAUGCAAGUCGAGCGAACAGACGAGGAGCUUGCUCCUCUGACGUUAGCGGCGGACGGGUGAGUAACACGUGGAUAACCUACCUAUAAGACUGGGAUAACUUCGGGAAACCGGAGCUAAUACCGGAUAAUAUAUUGAACCGCAUGGUUCAAUAGUGAAAGACGGUUUUGCUGUCACUUAUAGAUGGAUCCGCGCCGCAUUAGCUAGUUGGUAAGGUAACGGCUUACCAAGGCAACGAUGCGUAGCCGACCUGAGAGGGUGAUCGGCCACACUGGAACUGAGACACGGUCCAGACUCCUACGGGAGGCAGCAGUAGGGAAUCUUCCGCAAUGGGCGAAAGCCUGACGGAGCAACGCCGCGUGAGUGAUGAAGGUCUUCGGAUCGUAAAACUCUGUUAUUAGGGAAGAACAAAUGUGUAAGUAACUAUGCACGUCUUGACGGUACCUAAUCAGAAAGCCACGGCUAACUACGUG